rnacentral:rRNA from 1 species
UACGUAGGGCGCAAGCGUUGUCCGGAAUUAUUGGGCGUAAAGAGCUCGUAGGCGGUUUGUCGCGUCUGCUGUGAAAACCUAAGGCUCAACCUUGGGCUUGCAGUGGGUACGGGCAGACUAGAGUGCGGUAGGGGUGACUGGAAUUCCUGGUGUAGCGGUGGAAUGCGCAGAUAUCAGGAGGAACACCGAUGGCGAAGGCAGGUCACUGGGCCGCAA